rnacentral:rRNA from 1 species
AGAGUUUGAUCCUGGCUCAGAACGAACGCUGGCGGCGUGGAUAAGACAUGCAAGUCGAACGGGAAUUCAUUUGUAGCAAUACCGAUGAAUUCUAGUGGCGAACGGGUGCGUAACACGUGAGCAAUCUGCCGGGAAGUGGGGGAUAGCUCGUCGAAAGGCGAAUUAAUACCGCAUAUGGCCAGGGGGGACAUCCUCCCGAAGCCAAAGUAGCAAUACGCUUCCUGAUGAGCUCGCGGCCUAUCAGCUAGUUGG